rnacentral:rRNA from 1 species
AUAUCAGAUUAGGUAGUUGGUGAGGUAAAGGCUCACCAAGCCAACGAUCUGUAGCUGGUCUGAGAGGACGACCAGCCACACUGGAACUGAGACACGGUCCAGACUCCGUACGGGAGGCAGCAGGUGGGGUAAUUUUGGACAAUGGGCGCAAGCCUGAUCCAGCAAUGCCGCGUGCAGGAUGAAAGGCCGUUCGGGUUAGUAAACUGUCUUUUGUACGGAACGAACGGUGAGCUCUAAUACAGUUUGCUAAUGACGGUACCGUAAGAAUAAGCACCGGCUAACUACGUG